rnacentral:rRNA from 1 species
ACCACGGGAGGCAGCAGUGGGGAAUAUUGCACAAUGGGGGAAACCCUGAUGCAGCGACGCCGCGUGAGUGAAGAAGUAUUUCGGUACGUAAAGCUCUAUCAGCAGGGAAGAAAAAAAGUCCUUUGGACUUUGGACGGUACCGGACCAAGAAGCCCCGGCUAACUACGUGCCAGCAGCCGCGGUAAUACGUAGGGGGCAAGCGUUAUCCGGAUUUACUGGGUGUCAAGGGAGCGUAGACGGCAGCGCAAGUCUGGAGUGAACUGCCGGGGCCCACCCCCGGAACUGCUUUGGAAACUGUGCCGCUGGAGUGCAGGAGAGGUAAGCGGAAUUCCUAGUGUAGCGGUGCAAUGCGUAGAUAUUAGGAGGAACACCAGUGGCGAAGGCGGCUUACUGGACUGUAACUGACGUUGCGGCUCG